UACGGGGGGGGCAAGCGUUGUUCGGAAUUACUGGGCGUAAAGGGCUCGUAGGCGGCCAACUAAGUCAGACGUGAAAUCCCCAGGCUCAACCUGGGAACUGCGUCUGAUACUGGAUGGCUUGAAUCCGGGAGAGGGAUGCAGAAUUCCAGGUGUAGCGGUGAAAUGCGUAGAUAUCUGGAGGAAUACCGGUGGCGAAGGCAAUCCCCUGGACCUGUACUGACGCUCAUGCACGAAAGCGUGGGGAGCAAACAGG
rnacentral:rRNA from 1 species